UCCACAGCCUGACAGUAAACUGUACCAGCGUAUCGGACAUGCCCGGGAAGGAACAACAAGUUUCCUGCCAGCCGUGGAGUCAAGGGGAUCCGAUUAGACUCCAAGCCUGACAGUAAACUGUACCAGCGUGUCGGACAUGCCCAGGAAGGAACAACAAGUCUCCUGCCAGCCGUGGAGUCAAGGGGAUCCGAUUAGACUCCAAGCCUGACAGUAAACUGUACCAGCGUGUCGGACAUGCCCGGGAAGGAACAACAAGUUUCCUGCCAGCCGUGGAGUCAAGGGGAUCCGAUUAGACUCCAAGGUGUGUUC